UACGAAGGGGGCUAGCGUUGCUCGGAAUCACUGGGCGUAAAGCGCACGUAGGCGGACUCUUAAGUCGGGUGGUGAAAUCCUGGAGCUCAACUCCAGAACUGCCUUCGAUACUGGGAGUCUUGAGUCCGGGAGAGGUGAGUGGAACUGCGAGUGUAGAGGUGAAAUUCGUAGAUAUUCGCAAGAACACCAGUGGCGAAGGCGGCUCACUGGCCCGGUACUGACGCUGAGGUGCGAAAGCGUGGGGAGCAAACAGG
rnacentral:rRNA from 1 species